rnacentral:rRNA from 1 species
AACGAACGCUGGCGGCAUGCCUUACACAUGCAAGUCGAACGGCAGCACGGGAGCAAUCCUGGUGGCGAGUGGCGAACGGGUGAGUAAUAUAUCGGAACGUGCCCGGUCGUGGGGGAUAACGUAGCGAAAGCUACGCUAAUACCGCAUACGAUCUACGGAUGAAAGCGGGGGAUCGCAAGACCUCGCGCGAUUGGAGCGGCCGAUAUCAGAUUAGGUAGUUGGUGAGGUAAAGGCUCACCAAGCCGACGAUCUGUAGCUGGUCUGAGAGGACGACCAGCCACACUGGGACUGAGACACGGCCCAGACUCCUACGGGAGGCAGCAGUGGGGAAUUUUGGACAAUGGGCGCAAGCCUGAUCCAGCAAUGCCGCGUGCAGGAUGAAGGCCUU